CAUGUACUUUUAUUUACAGGCUUGUGUGGAAUUGUCAGUUUCACUGACAUUAUGAAAAUAAUGACUAUAAAAACGAUUUGCACAUUCUGACAACAGGGCAUGGAUGCUGUAUACAGUGAGAUGUUCAUUUAAUGGCAGGUGAAUUCUACAUGUGGAACUGUGAAAUGUAAUGUAAUCUCAUGUAUUCCCAGUUACAAGUAAAUGAGUUGUACAAACUGCAUCUCAUGAAAAGUGUCGAAAACUGACCAAGAGAUGUGUAGGCCUAUUUAGGGUAGAAGAAUAAAGGCUAAUCUUGAAAAAUAUUUUCUGGAACACCAGUUACAGGAGGAUGCAUGGUCACAGGUGAUGUUAAUAGUAGGAACAAUAACCUAUAUGAAUAUUAAUUGUUGAAUUUUCCGAAUUUCUAUUUUGACCAAGAGAUGGUGUACUUAGGGCAGAAGAAAGGCUGAUCUUGUAAGGCUAUCAACCUGCCCCCACCUCUCAUAUGGUAAAAUAUGGAGAUACUGGAUGGAGUCUCAACUUGAUGGCUCUCACACAUCAUUGUGUAACUUACUGUAGCAUUGCUAGUCGUGUUGAUAAGUAAGGGUCAAGAUUGUGGUGUGAUUGUAGUUGUUCUUGGGUAUAAAAGGAAUUGUGAAGCAUUG